GGAGGUUGUGCCCUUGAGGCGUGGCUUCCGGAGCUAACGCGUUAAGUCGACCGCCUGGGGAGUACGGCCGCAAGGUUAAAACUCAAAUGAAUUGACGGGGGCCCGCACAAGCGGUGGAGCAUGUGGUUUAAUUCGAUGCAACGCGAAGAACCUUACCUGGUCUUGACAUCCACGGAAGUUUUCAGAGAUGAGAAUGUGCCUUCGGGAACCGUGAGACAGGUGCUGCAUGGCUGUCGUCAGCUCGUGUUGUGAAAUGUUGGGUUAAGUCCCGCAACGAGCGCAACCCUUAUCCUUUGUUGCCAGCGGUCCGGCCGGGAACUCAAAGGAGACUGCCAGUGAUAAACUGGAGGAAGGUGGGGAUGACGUCAAGUCAUCAUGGCCCUUACGACCAGGGCUACACACGUGCUACAAUGGCGCAUACAAAGAGAAGCGACCUCGCGAGAGCAAGCGGACCUCAUAAAGUGCGUCGUAGUCCGGAUUGGAGUCUGCAACUCGACUCCAUGAAGUCGGAAUCGCUAGUAAUCGUGGAUCAGAAUGCCACGGUGAAUACGUUCCCGGGCCUUGUACACACCGCCCGUCACACCAUGGGAGUGGGUUGCAAAAGAAGUAGGUAGCUUAACCUUCGGGAGGGCGCUUACCACUUUGUGAUUCAUGACUGGGGUGAAGUCGUAACAAGGUAACCGUAGGGGAACCUGCGGUUGGAUCACCUCCUU
rnacentral:rRNA from 1 species